rnacentral:rRNA from 1 species
UACAGAGGUCCCAAGCGUUGUUCGGAUUCACUGGGCGUAAAGGGUGCGUAGGUGGCGGGGUAAGUCGGAUGUGAAAUCUCCGAGCUCAACUCGGAAAUGGCAUUGGAAACUACCUUGCUUGAGGGUUGGAGGGGGGACUGGAAUACUUGGUGUAGCAGUGAAAUGCGUAGAUAUCAAGUGGAACACCAGUGGCGAAGGCGAGUCCCUGGACAACUCCUGACACUGAGGCACGAAAGCCUAGGGGAGCAAACAGG